rnacentral:lncRNA from 1 species
GGCAUCGACAUGCAUCAUCGACUCUACUUCCGCUACGGGUCUGCGCGUCUAGUGGUAAUCUCGUGAUCCAUUAUCUACAACAUUGAUCCGGGCGGAAUCGGUAGAAUUUUUCUUUUGUGCUAGCGUAGCCUUCCGCGUUCCCCAACAUGUAUGGGCCACAUCUCCCUUAACACGAGACGGAUCAUCAACAACUGGUGAUUUUGCAGGACUAGUCGCCGUGUCAGAUAGUUCUUUAGUUGUAUCAAGGUUAGCCUCCUCCGAUGUGCGCUUCAACGAACUAAAGUCUCUGUCCCCAAAUUGUAACAUCCCAAAAUUUCAAACUUUUACAUGUGCAUUGCAUCCAUGAGCAUCAUGCCACAAUUGCAUGUUUGAAUUCAAAUUUUGAAUCACAAAAGGCUUUAGGAGAUUUUGUUUACAUCCCUGUAACCUUUGGAUUUUCAAACCAAUAGGGUUGAUGUAUAAAAAGGGUUUAGUGCAUAUAUAAACUAUCCUAUAAUUUUUGGAUAAUUAUUUGGAGUUGAAAAAGUAUUUUAUUUAAACAGAUAUAUGGCUCUAAAGGCAUUUAUAGGGCAAAUGUAUAUUUACAUAUUUUAUUUUGAGGUGAAACUACUUCCAAAAGUUGUAUCAUGGUAGAAUAUGAUUUUAGAAAUUUUCUGGGAUUUAUUUGGACCAAUUUGGAGUUCAAACUCAAAAGAUAUCAAAGAAAUGAGAAAAACAGAAAAAGAAAAGGUCUAAAAGAAAAAAAAAAAAAGGGGGUAAACCGGACCGGCCCGGCC